rnacentral:snRNA from 1 species
AUACUUACCUGGCGCGGGGGAAUACCUGCGUGAUCAAAGAAGGCGGUGCCUUCCAGGACGAAGGCCUGUACAUUGCAACUCCGUAUGGGCUGACUCCUGCGACUACCCCAAUCGGGCGUGCCUCGGAGCCGCAUAAUUUUUGGUAGUGGGGACAAGCGUGUCGCGCGCUGUCCCUU